rnacentral:rRNA from 1 species
UACGUAGGUGGCAAGCGUUGUCCGGAAUUAUUGGGCGUAAAGCGCGCGCAGGCGGUCCUUUAAGUCUGAUGUGAAAGCCCACGGCUCAACCGUGGAGGGUCAUUGGAAACUGGGGGACUUGAGUGCAGAAGAGGAAAGCGGAAUUCCACGUGUAGCGGUGAAGUGCGUAGAGAUGUGGAGGAACACCAGUGGCGAAGGCGGCUUUCUGGUCUGUAACUGACGCUGAGGCGCGAAAGCGUGGGGAGCAAACAGG